rnacentral:rRNA from 1 species
GCACAAGCGGUGGAUGAUGUGGUUUAAUUCGAUGCAACGCGAAAACCUUACCCACCUUUGACAUGUACGGAAUCCUUUAGAGAUAGAGGAGUGCUCGAAAGAGAACCGUAACACAGGUGCUGCAUGGCUGUCGUCAGCUCGUGUCGUGAGAUGUUGGGUUAAGUCCCGCAACGAGCGCAACCCUUGUCAUUAGUUGCUACAUUCAGUUGGGCACUCUAAUGAGACUGCCGGUGACAAACCGGAGGAAGGUGGGGAUGACGUCAAGUCCUCAUGGCCCUUAUAGGUGGGGCUACACACGUCAUACAAUGGAUGGUACAAAGGGUCGCCAACCCGCGAGGGGGAGCCAAUCCCAUAAAGCCAUUCGUAGUCCGGAUCGCAGUCUGCAACUCGACUGCGUGAAGUCGGAAUCGCUAGUAAUCGCAGGUCAGCAUACUGCGGUGAAUACGUUCCCGGGUCUU